AUUUAUGAAGUUUAUUAUAAAAUAUUGAUUUGUGGAGUCAAAGAUGCAAUUAUAAAUUGCCAUGAAUA
rnacentral:tRNA from 1 species